UACGAAGGGGGCUAGCGUUGCUCGGAAUCACUGGGCGUAAAGGGCGCGUAGGCGGCGCGAUAAGUUGGGCGUGAAAGGCCCGGGCUCAACCCGGGGACUGCGCUUGAUACUGUCGCGCUGUGAGUCCGGGAGAGGAUGGCGGAAUUCCCAGUGUAGAGGUGAAAUUCGUAGAUAUCGGGAGGAACACCAAUGGCGAAGGCAGCUCGCUGGGACGGUACUGACGCUGAGACGCGAAAGCGUGGGGAGCAAACAGG
rnacentral:rRNA from 1 species